CCUAACACAUGCAAGUCGAACGAAGGCUUCGGCCUUAGUGGCGCACGGGUGCGUAACGCGUGGGAAUCUGCCCUCAGGUUCGGAAUAACAGCGAGAAAUUGCUGCUAAUACCGGAUGAUAUCGCGAGAUCAAAGAUUUAUCGCCUGAGGAUGAGCCCGCGUAGGAUUAGCUAGUUGGUGUGGUGAAGGCGCACCAAGGCGACGAUCCUUAGCUGGUCUGAGAGGAUGAUCAGCCACACUGGGACUGAGACACGGCCCAGACUCCUACGGGAGGCAGCAGUGGGGAAUAUUGGACAAUGGGCGAAAGCCUGAUCCAGCAAUGCCGCGUGAGUGAUGAAGGCCUUAGGGUUGUAAAGCUCUUUUACCCGGGAUGAUAAUGACAGUACCGGGAGAAUAAGCUCCGGCUAACUCCGUGCCAGCAGCCGCGGUAAUACGGAGGGAGCUAGCGUUAUUCGGAAUUACUGGGCGUAAAGCGCACGUAGGCGGCUUUGUAAGUUAGAGGUGAAAGCCUGGAGCUCAACUCCAGAAUUGCCUUUAAGACUGCAUCGCUUGAAUCCAGGAGAGGUGAGUGGAAUUCCGAGUGUAGAGGUGAAAUUC
rnacentral:rRNA from 1 species